UUAAGUUAUUAAGGGCGCACGGUGGAUGCCUUGGCACUAGAAGCCGAUGAAGGACGUUACUAACGACGAUAUGCUUUGGGGAGCUGUAAGUAAGCUUUGAUCCAGAGAUUUCCGAAUGGGGAAACCCAGCAUGAGUUAUGUCAUGUUAUCGAUAUGUGAAUACAUAGCAUAUCAGAAGGCACACCCGGAGAACUGAAACAUCUUAGUACCCGGAGGAAGAGAAAGAAAAUUCGAUUCCCUUAGUAGCGGCGAGCGAAACGGGAAGAGCCCAAACCAAAAAGCUUGCUUGUUGGGGUUGUAGGACACUCUAUACGGAGUUACAAAGGACGACAUUAGACGAAUCAUCUGGAAAGAUGAAUCAAAGAAGGUAAUAAUCCUGUAGUCGAAAAUGUUGUCUCUCUUGAGUGGAUCCUGAGUACGACGGAGCACGUGAAAUUCCGUCGGAAUCUGGGAGGACCAUCUCCUAAGGCUAAAUACUCUCUAGUGACCGAUAGUGAACCAGUACCGUGAGGGAAAGGUGAAAAGCACCCCGGAAGGGGAGUGAAAUAGAACCUGAAACCGUGUGCUUACAAGUAGUCAGAGCCCGUUAAUGGGUGAUGGCGUGCCUUUUGUAGAAUGAACCGGCGAGUUACGAUUUGAUGCAAGGUUAAGCAGUAAAUGUGGAGCCGUAGCGAAAGCGAGUCUGAAUAGGGCGUUUAGUAUUUGGUCGUAGACCCGAAACCAGGUGAUCUACCCUUGGUCAGGUUGAAGUUCAGGUAACACUGAAUGGAGGACCGAACCGACUUACGUUGAAAAGUGAGCGGAUGAACUGAGGGUAGCGGAGAAAUUCCAAUCGAACCUGGAGAUAGCUGGUUCUCUCCGAAAUAGCUUUAGGGCUAGCCUCAAGUGAUGAUUAUUGGAGGUAGAGCACUGUUUGGACGAGGGGCCCCUCUCGGGUUACCGAAUUCAGACAAACUCCGAAUGCCAAUUAAUUUAACUUGGGAGUCAGAACAUGGGUGAUAAGGUCCGUGUUCGAAAGGGAAACAGCCCAGACCACCAGCUAAGGUCCCAAAAUAUAUGUUAAGUGGAAAAGGAUGUGGCGUUGCCCAGACAACUAGGAUGUUGGCUUAGAAGCAGCCAUCAUUUAAAGAGUGCGUAAUAGCUCACUAGUCGAGUGACACUGCGCCGAAAAUGUACCGGGGCUAAACAUAUUACCGAAGCUGUGGAUUGUCCUUUGGACAAUGGUAGGAGAGCGUUCUAAGGGCGUUGAAGCAUGAUCGUAAGGACAUGUGGAGCGCUUAGAAGUGAGAAUGCCGGUGUGAGUAGCGAAAGACGGGUGAGAAUCCCGUCCACCGAUUGACUAAGGUUUCCAGAGGAAGGCUCGUCCGCUCUGGGUUAGUCGGGUCCUAAGCUGAGGCCGACAGGCGUAGGCGAUGGAUAACAGGUUGAUAUUCCUGUACCACCUAUAAUCGUUUUAAUCGAUGGGGGGACGCAGUAGGAUAGGCGAAGCGUGCGAUUGGAUUGCACGUCUAAGCAGUAAGGCUGAGUAUUAGGCAAAUCCGGUACUCGUUAAGGCUGAGCUGUGAUGGGGAGAAGACAUUGUGUCUUCGAGUCGUUGAUUUCACACUGCCGAGAAAAGCCUCUAGAUAGAAAAUAGGUGCCCGUACCGCAAACCGACACAGGUAGUCAAGAUGAGAAUUCUAAGGUGAGCGAGCGAACUCUCGUUAAGGAACUCGGCAAAAUGACCCCGUAACUUCGGGAGAAGGGGUGCUCUUUAGGGUUAACGCCCAGAAGAGCCGCAGUGAAUAGGCCCAAGCGACUGUUUAUCAAAAACACAGGUCUCUGCUAAACCGUAAGGUGAUGUAUAGGGGCUGACGCCUGCCCGGUGCUGGAAGGUUAAGAGGAGUGGUUAGCUUCUGCGAAGCUACGAAUCGAAGCCCCAGUAAACGGCGGCCGUAACUAUAACGGUCCUAAGGUAGCGAAAUUCCUUGUCGGGUAAGUUCCGACCCGCACGAAAGGCGUAACGAUUUGGGCACUGUCUCAACGAGAGACUCGGUGAAAUCAUAGUACCUGUGAAGAUGCAGGUUACCCGCGACAGGACGGAAAGACCCCGUGGAGCUUUACUGUAGCCUGAUAUUGAAAUUCGGCACAGCUUGUACAGGAUAGGUAGGAGCCUUUGAAACGUGAGCGCUAGCUUACGUGGAGGCGCUGGUGGGAUACUACCCUAGCUGUGUUGGCUUUCUAACCCGCACCACUUAUCGUGGUGGGAGACAGUGUCA
rnacentral:rRNA from 1 species